rnacentral:lncRNA from 7 species
AGUGGCCUUACAACAAAAAAGUGCGACUGUAUCUCCAUGGCACCUCAGCAACUUCAGACGACCUACAGAUGGGCUGCGCAGAUGCAGGAAAAUCUUAUUCUGGAAGUUACUCACAAAAUAUGGGGAGGCAGAAGUGCAGAAUCUCCUUCAAAGCAAGAGAGCAUCACAGAGGUGUGGCAGUGCUCCUGUGGACAGGCAGAUGUAAUGCUGAGCCACACAUUGGCUUAUGACUGCUAAAGAAUAGCAUUUUCAAUCUGAAUUAAUCAGAGUGAUAGAAUGCUUAUGCACUGUGUAAUCAAGUUAUUUUUGAGCAAGCUGAAAAUAUCAAAUCCAUAGAUUCCCUCUGUAGCUCUUCAGCUUUCUGGAGUAGAGUUUCUUGGCCUGUGGAUCAGAGAAGUGGGACCUCAGCACAACCUACCAAUCCUAUUCAUGACAACAAAUCAAGCUGGCUGUAAGACAGAAUUACAGAAUUUCAAGAGACAUCCACAACAUUUACUUCCAGACAGUGAGGCACUGUUCUAUUCUUAUUUCCACACUGGACAGUAUGGACUUGUAAACACAAGGUUGAAACUGUAUUCUAGCCUUAGCUACCUAUAUGUAGAGGUGACUAAAGACUGUGUCCUGCCAACCAAAUUACUGUCACUGUAUCAAAGGUCUACCUUCAUUUUCUACCAUUUCUUUUCUUGUCAUAGAAAAACAAGUCAAAAAUAAAAAUAUGAUGUAGACUGGGGCCAGAAUUUAAUUCUGUUAGACAAGAAUCCAAAUCGAAACAAUUGAUCUGAUUUCAGUAGGGCCAGCUGGAAUUGUGCUUGAGGAUAUUUUUAUCUAAGUUACCAAUACAUUUCAAAACCCAAAACUGAGCUUCAAUCUAUUUAAUAUAUGCAGUGUAAAUAUUGUGUUGAUGUAUUCACUUUACUUUUGGUUGAAUUGCACUACUUCAACAAUUCUUGCUGAUACUUCUAUCUGCUAACCUUAUGACCUGAUCAAUAAAAAAGAUGUCUGU